UGACAAAAAAUUUGGCUCCAAAUAGCGACUUAUAGAGAGUCGCCACUGAUGGUAUUUGGGGCGAUAGGGUCGCCUCUAAUAGUGUAAGUAUCUGAUAUUUAAAAUAAAAAACUAAAUACUACCUAAGAUUGUCUCGUUUAAUAAAAGAAGGCCGAAGACGGUCCCUUCCUUCUUCCCUCUUCUCUUUUCUCUCUGCAAAAGCCAUUGAAACCUAAUGUAUGAAACCCAAAUUCUUCUUCCAAAUUCCCAAAUUAAAUCUUUCACUUUUGUUUAAUCACAAGAUGUGAACCUACUUUAUGAAACCCAAAAGCCCUAACACCAUUUGUAUUUUAAGAUUGUACUCAAAUAAGGUAAUGUAUUCAAACCCCAAAUCCUUUUGGGUGUUAAAUGCAGUUAGCAAGAGUGACUAUUUCAUCACAUUCACCUCUAAUUUAUUUAACCCAUUUGAAAUCUACAGGAGUAGAAAGCAAUUUUUCCAACAAUAUCAUCGUGUAAAGCCCUUCUCGGUGUUGACGAUCUCUUUGCUGGGUAAGUUAUUUUUAUUGAAAUUCUAAACUUUUUGGUGAUUGCAUGUUUGGUAUUCCUCUCAAAAUUCUGAAAUGAGAUGUUGUGUGGUAUGGGUCUGUUAUUUUUCCUGAUAUUUUUCGACAAAAUUCCAUAGAGCAGUUUUUUACGCGAUUCUUUGUUGUGUGGUAUGCCCUAAGUUUCUUAUUUCUGAGAGUGAAAAAAACCACUGCCUUAUGGGUAGAUAUGAUACUGCUCUUGCUGCACAAACAAUUGAUUUUCUGCGCAAGAAAAUCUCUGCCUUAUGGGUUUUAGUUGUUGGACUUUUCAAGAGUUAUGUCUGUAACUCUUUUCUGAUACAUUGUGUGAUGCUUGGUAUUUUGAUAUGUAUUUUAAUUAGAAGGUUGCCCUAUUGCUUUUUAGAAUUAAAACCAAAAACUGCUCUUCUCUGUUCUCACAAAGCUCAAUUGAAGUAUAUUUGGGAAAUAUUUUGUUCUUCAUAGGCCUUCCGAACUAAAAUUAGUAGGUCCACACUGGUCAAGGCAAAAUCGUUAUUAGCAGAAUUAGGCUUAUUUUAUGCACAAAUAUAACACUAUGCUAGGAUAGAGAACAUACAGAGUUGAAACUGGCAGCGGUAGCCUCUUCAGUGUCAUCUUCAGGUAAAAUGCCAAUUUCAACAAGUUCCAGUAGCUCUUUCCUAGAUAUGUUCCAGUCUUGCUCCCUUUGUUCAUCAAAUUUCUACCAAAAAAGCUUGACGUUUUCCACUCCUUACUUUACAGUUCACGCUCAUAAACACUACUAUUUCUGAGCUGGUGCAGUAUAUUAUUAACUAAGUAUUUACUUUUAGCAUAAUCAAACUAAUGUUUUAAACAAUUUUCAGCUUGAAACGGGAAACGGGAAGAACAGAAAUUGAAUUUUAUGUUUAAUUAGUCUUUCCAGUUGGAAGGUUGGGGGCGCGAUUUUCUUUAGCUGCUUCAUAAAUAUCUCCUAUAAAUUCUAUUCCUAAAAACCGGCAAUCGUAGACUGCUUUUGUUUAUCUAUUAUGACGGAUGGAGGGCCCCAAAUCGAGUGGCGGCUGGUUGCCCUUUAAAUUAUGUAGGUAGAAGAAACUAUUAAAUAGAUAAUGAGUAGGUGAAUGAGGGCUGGAAGGAACGAUUGGAAGGAGAACACCAGGAAAGUUAUCUUUAAAAAAAAGAAAAGGAACAAGGCGAGAGUGGGAGGGCAUGAACGAGAAGAAUAGGUCAAUGAGAUAAUAAUCUGCGAGAGGUCAUCUGAUGUUGUUCGUGACAAGGAAAAAGAACUUGCUGUGGGAAUGUUAGCUGUUCUUUCUCCUGGAAACAUUAUCCACGUUACCUUGUAAAACACGUGUUGAUACAUAUAUGGACCAAGAAUAGCUAGUUUUAAUUAGGCGGCGACAACUAUUAUGCAUUUAUAGAUGAGCUUGAUACGGUUCAAGUUUAUGAAGAAUGAAAGAAUCCAGCCCCUUCUCCUCCUUGUCAUCAUCAUUUAUGUUUCUGUCGUAACACAUUGACUUGAUUUCUCGGGUUAAAAUGAGACGUGAGACGCAUUGAUGUUGGAGUUUUUUUUCCCUUCCAUUUGUCGCUUAUGUGAUCCGUGUAUCUGUUGAUUUAUUGUUUUGUCUGGCGUAUCUUUCUUCAGUUUUAUACAUUAAUGCAUUAACAAAUCCUGGGUCGACGGUGAGAGCACUGUUGGCUAUUAAGUGGUGCUUUAUAUGACCUUUAAAGUUAACUUAGGUAUAGAUAGACAAAGGAUCUGUGAAUGAAGCUAAUUAUAUCUAAUAUGUGAGUAUUACGGUUCAUUUUCUAUUUUACAAUUUGGAAAGUACUAAACAACAGUAGCACCUACUUUAGAAAGCUUACAAACUAUAUACGGUUAUUUUGUUUCAUUUGUGAAUUUUAGUGGGUGGCAGUCAUGUCAUUGUGGAAGUGAUCGUAGAAUACUUCAUUGAAUUUUGUUGAUAGUUUGUAUUUGCUAGCUCUUCUUUCUUCAGAAGAGCAUCUACAGAUGUAGAUCAAGAAACAGCUUUUACUUAUACUAUUAUUAGACUUCGUCUUAAGAGCUGCCAGUUGGAAGUGUUUUUGGGAUCAUCAUUUCCUUAUUUAUCACCAAUUGAAAUAUGAUAAUGAAACUAGAAAUUCUGGGGAACUAUAGGCUUCGUAUUAUAGGCUUAUCAUUUUUAAGCCCAUGGUUCAGUAUUAUUAUUGGUUGAUGAUGAUAUCAAAAUCAUACAACUCUUUCAUUCAUAACGUGUUAUUCCUGCAUUUCUUCUUCCUUUUUUGUUCUUUCCAGGGUUAGUCGGGGUUUCUUGCACACAGUCCCUAGAACCUCUUUGAUUAUAUUAGUAAUAGGUACCACCAAAUUAAUUACAACUGAUUUGUUCUCUUGAGCCGAGGGUCUUUCGGAAUCAGCCUCUCUACCCUUCGGGGUAGGGGUAAGGUCUGCGUACACACUACCCUCCCCAGACCCCAUUAGUGGGAUUUCACUGGGUUGUUGUUGUUGUUGUUGAUUUGAUGAGUCAUUUGCCAAUAUAGGGUUGGUAUGGUGCGUUUUAUGAACAGAAUGUGAUUAAAAUAGGUAUGUAAAAAUGAUAAUGGAGAAAUUGUGUGGUGGAUCCACAAUCCCAACAAAUUCAUGUAAUAUUCUUAAAUCACUGAGAUGAGUCGAAAGUUGCAAGAAGAACAUGAACAAAUGGAUGCCGAAUUAAAAAGUAACAUGGAACAAGAGUGCAAAGGAAGUUGGAAGAGAAACUUGAGCACGUGAAUACGGAAGUAGACAACCGGAUCAGUGUAGAAGUAGCCAAGAGGAUUCAAGAACAACUUGCUGCUAUCAUGACUGGAAUGCAACAGGUGAUCUACUCUUAAUGUUUUUGUACUCUUCUUACUCUUCCUUCAGUGUAUUUAGUUCACUAUAAAAUGUCAACCAACACAUAUGUAUCUAGCAUUAUACAAUUGAUAUUUAUGUUACCAUCAGCCCUUUUUUAGUUCAUUACUGCCAUCAGUCCAAUAUUUCUAAAAGGCUAAUAUUAGUUCAUUUCUUGCGCUCAUUGUGCUGGUUCGUGUUUGUCAAUGCUAGACUUGAGAUUCUUUUUUGGAUAAGUCUUCAUAGUAUUAGCAAAAAGCUAGCCAUUUCUCCUUCUCCUAUGUUUUCAAACAACUUUGGUUGGAUUUUGGAGGAUCCAAAUAUUCCUACAGUUGGAUAGUUAUAGAUAAAUUUACUUUCUACACCAAAGUAGUUGCAUAUAGCUUUUGCAAUUCGAUGUAGUACCCUUGUUGAAGGCUAUAUAAACAUUUUGUUGAUGCUAUAUAAACAUUGUGUUGAUCCAGUAUCAUUGAAGGCUAUAUAAACAGACCUACUGUGUUGCUGCCUUUACUGUGAUGCUUUCAAACUAUUCUGUCUUCAUUUGCUGUAGUUCCUUGAAAUUGUUCCAGAACCUUGAAGAGUUCAGCUAUCCUACUUUAGAAAUCUUCUGAAGUUAAUGUUCUUAUAUGUAUCUUUUUUCACCUUGAUCUUCUAACAAUGUGAAGUUAAGUUAAUGUUCCAGAACCUUGAUUGUUAAUGUUCUUAUAACAAUCUUCAAGCUCUAACAAUGUGAUCUUCUAUUUGUUUCUUUAAUAAUAGGGACAAGGUUCUUAAACAGUGGUGACAAUGAAGGAGGAGCUUGAAGCUAAGGCACUCAAUGUUUUACUUUUUGGUUAUAUAUGACAACGAAGUAUUACGUAGUAUAUAUAUGCGGAGGAACUUAAAGGUUAAGGCACUCAAUAUUUUGCUUUUUGGUUAUAUGUAUAUGCGUACAAUGAAAAUGAAGUAUUACAUAGUGUAUAUGCGGAGGAGCUUGAAGCUAAGGCACUCAAUAUCUUGCAUUUUGGUUAUAUGUAUAUGCGUACAAUGAAAAUGAAGUAUUGCAUAGUAUAUAUGUAAUUGAACUUUUAGUAAUGGAAGUGUUUAGUAUUUGGUUUAGGAAAUUCUUUUGGUGUUUAUUAAAUACUGUUAGAUGAUCUUAAACUUAUAUAUUAAUGUAAACUCUAGUAUUCAGUUGCUACUAGAGUAAUAUUAAUGGCGAGUUUCAGUUGCCACAAAAAUCACUAUUCAGUAGCGUUAUUAGAGUUGCCACUGAUGGCAAAUCAUUUUUGUGGCAAUUAAGUCGCCACUAAAUGUCACUCUACAGUAGCGCUAUUAGAGUUGCCACUAAUGGAAAAUUAUUUUUGUGGCAAUUAAGUCGCCACUAAAUGCCAGUCUUCAGUAGCGGUAUUAGAGUUGCCACGGAUGGCUAACCAUUUUUGUGGCGACUAAGUCGCCACUAAAUAUCACUCUACAGUAGCGCUUUUAGAGUUGCCAUAGAUGAUUAACUAUUUUUGUGGCGACUAAGUUGCCACUAAAUGUUACUUUUCAGUAGCGACUUCGAUAAAAUCAGUCUAGUGGAACUCUUUCUUGUGGCGAGUACAUCAAGUUUUUGUAGCGACAAUGUCGUCACAAAAGGUAUACAUUCUGUGGUGACCUCAUGUUGUCGUCACUAGUAACAUUCAGUAAUGGAAGUACUUGCAGCAGUUCCAAAGUCGCUACUGUACACAUUUAGUGCCGCCAAAUUAUCUGUUUAGCCUGUCCCUUUCCCCGUUCCUAAUAUACUAUCUUCCUGUCUUAACUGCUACAUGCUUAUUGGUGCUUCUAUGUUUAAUGGCUUCUUGUUAGACGUUGUUUUCUUUAUUGAAGGUAGUAAUUGUUCCGCAGUCUCAUUGUGUUACAUUAUUGGUUUAAGUUGGUUUAUCGGUGUAUCAUGGUAUAUUUUUGUUGGUCUCGCUGUGUAGUAGUAAUUGAGUGAAGUUUUAUAAGUGUAUAGCUUUCUAUUUGCUUUGUUUUGAGGCAUAAAUAUUGUAGAGGAUUUUGAGCUAAAUUAUGAAAUACUUGUUCUUAUUAUGUGAUUGGUACUGAUAUGGUGGGAUCGGGUUGCACGUCGCAACAAGAGGAAUAAGGGUGAUAUAUUGAGGAGGAAUAAGAGUGAAAUGUGAUUGUCUGGUAGGAUUGGGUUGCGCGCCGCAAUAGGAGUAAUAAGGGUGGAUUGGUGGGAUCGGGUUGCACGCUGCAACAUGAGGAAUAAGGGUGAUAUAUUGAGGAGUAAUAAGGGUGGAUUUAUGAGAUCGGGUUGCACGCCGCAAAAAUCACAUUGACCAGAAAAUACAAUUUUUUGGUAGUAUUUGUUGUUCCACAUUUUUUAUUUUUUAUUUUUAGUCUAAUAAAUAAUAACCAAUUAAAAUAGAAAAAAUACAUUAUAUAUAUAUACACACACACAUUUUUUACUAAUAAAUAUAAUUAGUUUCGACCCCAGUUAAUUUUGUAUUUUUCUCUUAAAAUAGGAAUGACCCAACCCAACUUACCCAAUGUAUACAUAAAGUAAAAUAAUUAAAAGUAAAUUAUUCCCCCACAAAAACCUUUGUUCGGAAUGUAUGAGAAUCUGGCCAAAACGAUAAGAAAUAAAAGUUAACCUAUACAUAUGGAUUUUGGGUCGGCUGAGUCGGGCCGGGUUGAAUAUUAUUUAUUAUACUAAAAAAAUAAGGAAUAAGAAAAUACUAUUGAAAAAUUGUUCUUUCCGGUCACUAUAAUUUUUGUGAGAGUUAUUGAAAGUUUCAUGAUUUUUGUGUAAAAAAACUAAGUUAUAUGUCUGUAGAUAAUAAAUUUGCGUCGUGAAAAUAAAAUUAAGACCGAAAAAUAUUGCAACAAUCGUAGUAGUUUAUUUCAAAUAUUUGAGCGUUACAAUCUCUAUGAAUCCUCUGAUUCUUCUUUCCAAUAGUAAAUAAAUUUAAGGGCCUUUGAGCUUGAUCUUGAAUAUGUAGUUGUCGCCACAAACGAUGAUCUUGUUCUUGAGCUUUAGCUUGGUUGCUUGAACUUGACCUUGAUUUAUUCUUCGUUCCUGAGCUUGAACUUGAUUUCUUGAACUUGAAGCUUGAAACUUGUGGAGGAAUUUGCAGCGUUUGAUUCACGAGCACUUUCUUGCUUCUUGUUAUAACUUCUGGUGUCUUUCUGAGUUAUGAAGAUCUCUAUUUAUAGUUGUGAAAGUGAGGAGUUGUGAUAAGACCAAACUCUUUCCGACCAAUCAAUUGAAGUGUGAUAUGGUCGCAUUGGAUUGGUCAGAAUAUGUCACUUGCACACGUGACACGAUUUCAUUAGCCUUUUAAUGUGACUUGGCAUGCCUUGUCAUUUUGACACGUGGCAUGGUCCUAUUGGCUCUUCCAUUUGACGUGGUGUGCCACGUCAUUUGACACGUGGUACCAAAUUGGACCUCUAGGAAGAUGAUAUAUUGGGCCUAAUAAAGUGGGUUCAUCAUUUGUAGCCUAACUAAAUGGGCUAGCCCAAUAAAUAUUUAUUGGAUUUAAGCAAUUAAUCAAAUUAUAUUAACCCACAUUAUUUAUUUGGAUUAAUAUAUUUCAAUAUAAUUCAAAUUAUUUUAUUAAAUUUAAAUUUAAUAAAUUUUGCAUACUUACAAAUGCCUCCUACUUCAAGACUCGUUAAAAUACAACUUAUAAACUUUAAAAGACGAGGCUUAAAGUAUCCACAGUUACACGCUUGUGCAAAUUGCAAGUUGCCUACCAAUUCUCAAGCUUUCCAUAAUUUUCAAGCUUAUUUCAUUUAAGGUUUAUGCAAUUGCAAAGUUGGAUAAACUUUCCAACUUGGUUAAUCUAGGAUGCCGCAUGCCCAUGUAAAAUCCAAAAUUAAUUGUGAAUACUAUAAUGAAAAUAAAGACAAUGACACUAAAGACAAUGCAUUUCAUCUUUUCCAAUGUCCCAAUUCUCACGUGAAAUAUCUAUUAAGUGAUACAAUCAUACACCAUUAUUGUCUCCCAUGAGGAAACACAUAAACAAGUUGUUGCACUUAACAUAUAUAGAAGAAAUGCUUGAAUAUUCUUUCCGGUGAUCACAUUGAAUUGAAAUGAAUCCUAAUUGCUAUUAACGUCUCAUCCGAGAUGUAUUUAGAGACGUAUCUGUCAUUCUUAGACUAGCAUCGUCAAAUUCCAAACCUAGAAUGCACAGCUGGCAUUUCGUAGUUUGAGUAGGAAUCAAAUUAUAGCAUCCUAAUUUGUGAUGGAAACUAGUUGUUAGCCGUAUUUUCUGUUGAUCCCACACUGGUAAUUAUCUUUCUCCUUUUGACAUCUAUAAAUAUCAUACGUCUUUCAUUACAUUAGUACCAAUUACAGUACCAAUUUGAGCGUUUGAAAAUUGUUUUGAGUCUACUUUUGACGACUUUCUUAUUUUCUUGUACUUUUUUUUUAGUCUAUUGUCUUUUUUUAAGAAGUAACUUUGUCUAACUACGAAAUACUUUAAAAGUUCGAGAUAAAGACCUUUAAAAGUUCGCGAUCAAUACCUUUAAAAUUUGCGGGGAAGACCUAUAAAAGUCAGCGCGAAGAUCCUUAAAAGCUUAUGGUCAAGAUCUUUAAAAGUUCACAAUGAAGACUUUAAAAGUUUGCGGUGAAGACCUUUAAAAAUUCGCGACGAAUACCUUUAAAAUUUGCGGGGAAGAUCCAUAAAAGUUUGCACGAAGAUCCUUAAAAGCUCGUGGUCAAGAUCUUUAAAAGUUCAUUGUGAAGACCUUUAAAAGUUCGCGACAAAUACCUUUAAAAGAAUGCGAUGAGGACCUUUAAAAAUUCGUGGCGACGACCUAUAAAAUUUCCACAAAGAUCCUUAAAAACUCGUGAUGAAGACAUUUAAAAUUUGCAGCGAAGUCCAUAAAAGUCCGCGAUGAAGACCUUUAAAAUUUGUGGCAAAGACCAAUAAAAGUUCUUGCAAAGACCUUUAAAAGCUCGUGGUCAAGAUCUUUAAAAGUUCACAGUGAAGACCUUUAAAAGUUCGCGGUAAAGACCUUUAAAAGCACGAGAUAAAGAACUUUAAAAACUCGCGGCGAAGACCCUUAAAAGCUCAUGGUAGAAAUAAGUCGGCAAUGAUGACCCUUUAAAGUUUUCCAUGAGCACUUUUAAAAGUUCGAGACAGGCACAUUUAAAAGCUCAAGAUGUACACCUUUUAAAGGUUCGGAACUAGAACCUUAAAAAUUCGGAUGCCAUUAAAAGUUCGAGACGAACACCUUUAAAAGUUCUCUAUGAAAACCUUUAAAAAUUCAAAUGCCUUUAAAAGUUCGGGACAAACACCUUUAAAAGUUUACAACGAAAACCUUUAGAAGAAGUUCGACACAGACAUCCUUUUUUUUACGAUUGAGGCGAUUGUUUUUUCACUUAUCCAUGCUCUCUUACAUGAUUGCGAUUGUUACUCUUCCCUUUUUAGGGAAGUGAGCGGAUAUGAAGACCAACAAACUUGAAGGUUAUGCGAGCAUGAAGACAUAGCGAAUCUCUAGACUUUGAUGCAAAUAUUGUCAUCAUUUCAGUGAAGACACCAUUUUACCAUAGCAACUUGCCCCCAUUAAAUCAAAUGUGAUCCAAAGAUCAACAGAAGGAUGGCAUUUCAGCUUGAUUUUACAUUCUUUUCAUACUUCACUCUGACUACAAUUAGGACACUAUGUAUCUUUUGAAAUCAUGUGACUGAACUUAGAAUGAAACUCUAAGCUGCCUACGUACCUCGGUGAAGAGGAUCAAGUCAUACCGUAGUUCAGAAUGGGUAAUAUUUUAUUUUAUUUAUGUCCUAACUUUUGCCUAGGCUGCCUCUUUCGGGGUUUUCAACCUAGCGGAUUCUUUUUUUUCCGUAUUAUUUUUUGUUUUUUGGUGGGCCAUACACAGUUUAGACUCAUGCAGGCCAGGAGCGUAGAAACAUGCAGUUUAGGCUCAUGCGUCAAGGAGCGUUGCAACUUCAAAGAUAAUACUUCUUCAAAAACUUGCCAUUGAUAUGGCCAAUUCUCAUGCCAUUUGCAUCAACCAACUUGUAAGCCCCACUUGAGUAAGCUUCUUGUAUUACAUAUGGCCCAUUUCAUUUUGAAGUGAACUUCUGUAUAGGUUUAGGGAAGUAAUUAUGGGUCUUCGUAGGUAAUGACUUGAUCUCCUGCUUGAAAGGAUCUAGGGCGAACUCUUUUACUGAAGGCGCGAGACAAUCGAGCUUGAUAACAUUCAAGACUCUGUUGAGCUUUCAACCUCUUCUCAUCAAGAGCCUCCAACUCUGCUAAUCAAAGUCGAGCAUUUUCUUCAUUAGUGAUCCCUUAUUGAAUAGCCAGGCGUAACAAAGGUAUUUGACACUCAAGUGGCAAGAUGGCUUCGACUCCAUAAACGAGUGAAUAAGGAGUCGCCAGUGUUGGCAUGCGGUGAGUCAUCCUAUAUGCCCAUAGAGCUUUUUCCAUACGGUCAUUCCAAUCUCGUUUGGAUUUGGAGAUGACUUUCUUUAAUAAGUUGCAUAGAGUUUUGUUGAAUGCCUCAGAUAGACCAUUGGCGGUAGCAUUGUACAUGGAAGAGUUAUGUUGCUUGAAGCCAAAGAGAUCACAAAUCUUGUUCAUCAACCUAUUAUCGAAUGGCUUUACAUUAUCCAUUAUUAUGUAACGAGGAAUGCCAAAGCGAUAAAUAAUAUUUACCCGGAUGAAACUUGCAACAUUUUCCUUCUUUACUUCCUUAAGAGCAACAACUUUAGCCUAUUUUGAGAAGUAGUCGAUUGUAGCCAAGAUUUAUAGGUGCCCACCAGAGAACUUUGGCAGUGGUCCAACAACAUCCAACCCCAAGCGUCAAAUGGCCAAGAUGCAACAGUCGGGUACAACACUUCAGGAGAUUGAUGAAUAAAAUUCACAUGGAAUUCAUAAGCCUUGUAUCUUCGAGCAUAAUCCAUGCAAUCUUUUACCAUCGUUGGCCAAUAAUAUUCCAUCCUUUUUAUAUGGAAGUGGAGCUUUGGUCUAGACUGGUGUGACCCACAAAUCCCAGAAUGUGCCUCUUGUAAAGCUUGGAGUGCUUUUUCUUCCCCUAAGCAUUGCAAGAGUACUCAUUCGAAUGACCUUUUGUAUAGAGUAUCUUUGUAGUAAAGGAAGCUAGGUGCACGACGACGGAUUUCAGUCCUUCUAAGCGGAUUUUCUAGAAGUAUCCCAUAGCACAAGUAGUUGAUAAUGGGUUGUCGCCAUUCUUCUUUCUCAACUUCAAAAAUAGCGACAAGAUGCUUGAGUUCAUUUUCUUCAACUUUAGCCUCAUUUGGCGGCGGUACUAUCCAUGUUUGGCAGAUAGUAACUUGCGCUUGAUCAGGCAGGAUUAACAAUAAAGCUAGGGAAGCUAAAGCAUCAGCCUUUUUAUUUUCUUUCCUUGGCACAUGCUGAGUAGUCACAUCACCGAGCCACCCUAUUAAGUUUUUAGCGUAAUCAUGAUAUGGGUGUAGUUCAGGUUUCUUGACCUCGUAACUACCUAAAAGCUAAUUGACCACUAACUAAGAGUUACCAAAGACUUGCAAUUGCAACCAUUUCAUUUUGAUAGCUAUUUCGAGCCCAAGUAUUAGUGCUUGAUACUCACCAACGUUGUUAGAGCAGAGUUGCGUCAACAUAAAAGAGUAGGGCAGAACUUCACCUUGAGAAGUGACAAAUACUACCCCAACACCAGCUCCUCCGCGAUGUGCAACACCAUCAAAGUACAUCUUCUAUGGAGGCUGAACUUCAAUGACCAUGGCGUCCUCAUCAGGUAGUUUUUCAGUUUGCUCCCAAUCAUCAAGUAUAGGGUGAUCUGCCAAGAAGUCCGCUAACACUUGUCCUUUUAUGGCCUUUUGUGGGAUGUACACGAUUUCAAAUUGUUGAAACUGGAGGUACCACCUUGCUAGUCGAUCAUUAAGGAUAGGUUUUGACAUCACGAACUUGAUGGGAUUUGCUCUAGAAACCAAACGAAUGACAUGAGCUUUAAAGUAGUGCUUCAACUUUUGGAUUGAGAAGACUAGCGCCAAACAUAAAUUUUCAAUUGGCGAAUAAUUCAGCUCAUUUGGUGUCAUCAUCCUGCUCAAGUAGUAAAUGGAGUUUUCUUUCCCUUCACUAUUUUCUUAGGCCAACUACGCUCCAACAGACCUAUCUUGUGCUGAAACUUAUAGUAUCAAUGGCUUUCCAAAUAUAUGGGCUGCCUAAACUGGAGGCUUCAUCAAGUAAGAUUUAAUGGUCUCAAAGGCAUCGCUACACACUUGGUCCCAUUUGAAAGGGACACCUUUCUUCAUAAGAUGAUUGAAUGGUUGGCACCUCCCAGCUAGGUUUGAGAUGAAUCUUCUAUGGUAUGCUAGCUUUCCUUGCAGACUUUUCAAUUCAUGAAUAUUGCGAGGCUCGGGCAUUUUCAAAAUAGCAUCUAUUUUGGCUUGAUCAAUUUUGAUACAUCGAUGUCGGAUAAUGAAACUAAGGAACUUUCCGGAAGUAACUCCAAAAGCGCAUUUCAAUGGAUUCAUCCUAAGUUGAUACCUCCGGAGAAACUCAAACACCAUUCUCAAGUCUUUUAAGUGGUCGCCCCUCUUUCUUGAUUUUACCACCAAGUCAUCCACAUAGCAUUCGACAUUCUUGUGGAGAAGGUCAUCAAAGAUAUUUUGCAUAGCUCUUUGGUAAGUAGCACCAGCAUUCUUCAAGCCUAAAGGCAUUACCUUGUAGUAAUAAAUACCUUUGGGGGUACGGAAUGCAGUAAGCUCUUCAUCUUUUGGCGCCAUGCGGAUUUGGUUAUAGCCUGAUGAACCGUCCAUAAAUGAUAUUACCUUGUACCUAUUAGUAGCAUCGAUCAUCAGCUCUGGCAUAGGAAGCGGGAAUUCAUCUUUUGGACACGCGUUGUUGAGAUCCUUGAAGUCAACGCACACUCGAAUCUGGCCAUUUUUCUUCCUUACAGGGACUAUACUUGAAACCCAUGUUGGGUAUUUAACUACACGAAUAAAACCAGCUUCGAUGAGUUUGUUAACUUCGGUUUCAAUCAAGGGAACCAAGUCCGGCCUAAAGUGCCUUUGAGCUUAUUUAACAGGGCAAGCACCUUUGUUGACUGCAAGGUGAUGGACUGCUACUUUUGGGUCCAAGCCAAGCAUCUCUUUAUAACUCCAAGCGAAGACAUCCUUGAACUCCUUGAUUAACUCAAUAUAAGUGCUCUCUUCAUCAACUUCUAGUAAAGCACUUAGGCAGGUGGGUCUUGGUUCUUCAUCGGUACCAAGGUUAACUUCUUUUAAGGCAUCAACUGUUGUCUUCAUUCCUUCUUCAAGUUGAGGUGGAGCAUCCUUCACAUCUUCAUCUUCUUGAGGCUCCCCAUCGUUGAAGAAUAUAUGAUAACACGGUGAAACAUCCUCAAAUUCUGCAUUACCCUCCAUUGAAGAUGGAACGUCAUUCUCAACUUGUACAGUAACAUGAUAUGAAGAACCCACACAUUCUUCAUCUUCAUCACGUUCCUUAGUAUAAACCACAGUAUAUGGCUUUACCUUUAGUACUUCUUUACAUGAAACCACAAGUUUUGUUCGUCGCCUCAUUCUAGAAGAAACCAAACUUUUGAAAUCUUUAGAGAUCUCCUGGAUUUUGGAUGAAGCGGGUGUUCUUAUGCUUUGAAAAUUUCUCCGGGACUUGUUCCCCUUCUUUAAUGGACCCAAUAUUUCAAACACGGAGGUACUCACAGGUGAUUUUCCAAGUCGAUCAAAAAUAGAAAGCUUGUUAGAAGCAGUCGAUUCAUCUUCUACAGAGAUAUAAUUUUUGCUCGCCCUUCUUAUUGAGAUGCGCACGGGUGACGGUUGCUUGUAUCCCAAACCUUCACGUGGUUUCCUCGUUGUAGCUUUUGAUGGGAGCUUUCCUAACUUUGACGACUCAUUGGGAUUGUAUCCAGCUUUUGCAAAUAGCUUAUAAGCGUUAGGGUCCAAACCUUCAUCUGUUCGCUUUGUAGGGAGUGCCACAUUCUGCAAAUGAUUUUGGGCUACAAACCUUGCAAGCGGCUUCGAGGACAACUUUACUGCCUCAAUCUGUUUUACCGGAAGAGUUAACUCCUUUAGCAUGUUAGUUUGGAGAUUAGAUGAUUUUCCCUCGUCUUUCUACCUUUUAGGGACAUAUUGGAGCGCAUGACUCACUUUCUUGCCAUAAGGCACAAUACCCCGUCUAUAAGAUUUAUUCGCGUUGGGUUGUACCUCCUCGGUAACAUCUUUGACUCUACCAGUAGUCACUUCGGUUCUUUUAGUUGUGGGCUCGUCAUUUUUGCUUUUUAUGACAUCAUCGGCUUUUAGCUCCUUCAAAAUACAGUUCUUCAAGUAGAACUUUGCAUCGACAAAGUGUGACUCUGCCUCGGUGAAUGGCUCAUCAUUAGCAACUAUAUUCGUCUCAACUUUACCUUCGUAGUAUUUCAAACAUUGAUGGUAGGUAGAUAGAACCACUUUGUUCUUAUGUAUCCAAGGCCUUCCAAGCAAGACGUUGUAUGAAGUAUUUGCGUCGAUCACAUGUAGUCAUGCACUUGAUUGCAUAUCUUCAAUGAUGAUUUCCAUCCUGAUCGCGCCUAUGGCUCUUUGCCCUUGGUUGAAUCCUUGGAUCAUCACACGACUUUCUAAGAGUUCAUUCAUGGGAAUGCCAAGUUCUUUUACAGUGCGAAUUGGCAAAAUGUUCAUUGAGGAUCCUCCAUCAACCAAAAUUUAAUUUACCCUUUGAUCAGGCAUAUAUCCAACCAGGUACAAUGAGCGGUUAUGAAGAGUGUCACCUAGCAGAAUAUCGUCAUUUGUGAACGUGACUUUUUGCUUCACAAGCACUAACUUCUUGAGGAGUGAACACGAUGAGCUUUUCCGAAGAUUGUGCCAACUGUCACGACCCUAGUUCACCCUCCAUGAACUGUUGUGACGACACCUAGUCUCUACGACUGGUAAGCCUAACAAUUUGCGUAAAGAGGGAAAACAACAGAUAAAAAAAACUUAUACAACUACGGAAUAAACAUAAUGAAGGUUUAAGAUGCCGCUCGGCAUAUACAAAUAUAAACUCUCAAACUGAUCAACUUUCCAAAACCCGGAAUCUCAUGAAAUCACAAGCUAUAGAUAUUACAUAGCGUUCUAACUCCAGAAUGUCUAAAUCAAGGGAAAUACAGAAGGGCUAUAACUAUAAGAGAGAAUGGAGAGGGACUCCUCAGUUUGCGGAUGCGGCAGAUAUACCUCGAAGUUUCUAGAGAAUCGCCUCACCUCAAGGAUGAUAGGGCUGAGCAGAAGGACCUGGAUAUACACAUGAAAAAUAUGCGCAGAAAGGGCAUGAGUACACCACAGUGGUACUCAGUAAGUGUCAAGCCUAACCUCGGUCGGGUAGUGACGAGGAAGGUCAGGGCCCUAUUGAGGUUAGAUGAAAA
rnacentral:lncRNA from 1 species